GAAACAUAAGCGGUCUCUGGCACACGGUAAAGUAUUACCCAUGACUUCUCUAGACUCUCAUCAAAAGAAACGCAAGCCUACAGAGGUAUAAUAAGAUUAUCUCUGUCCUGAUUGGUUCAAAGAACUCUUAUGAAAACAAAGGACCUGCCAAUUCAGCUGCAGGGAGUGUUGCUACUGAUGGAACAAAACCAAACCACUUGGAAUUAACGCACAAUUUAAAGACUGAAAAUCAAACAACUGAAAACAUGAGCCAAAUCUAUUAGCACUGAACUCCUCCAACAGCACUGAUGUCACAGGCCCCUGGAAGAAUCCACGUUGUUGACAUUACUCUGGUCAUUUAGUUGCCAUGUAGCCAAGCAAAGAGAUGGGGUUUGACCUUGUUGUCCAGGCUGGUUUCAAACUCCUGAGUUCGAGCAAUCUACCCACCCUUCAAAGUGUUGGGAUCACAGGUGACUCUUAGAAUCAUCUAGUCAAAAUGGAAUUGUGACUAUGGAAAUAUUGGCAUAGUUCCAGAGGAGUUAAAGGACUCACCCAGGCCGUACAGCUGGU
rnacentral:lncRNA from 10 species